rnacentral:rRNA from 1 species
AGGACGAACGCUGGCGCCGUGCCUAAUACAUGCAAGUCGAGCGGACAGAUGGGAGCUUGCUCCCUGAUGUUAGCGGCGGACAGGUGAGUAACACGUGGGUAACCUGCCUGUAAGGCUGGGAUAACUCCGGGAAACCGGGUCUAAUACCGGAUGCUUGUUUGAACCGCAUGGUUCAGACAUAAAAGGUGGCUUCGGCUACCACUUACAGAUGGACCCGCGACGCAUUAGCUAGUUGGUGAGGUAACGGCUCACCAAGGCGACGGUGCGUAGCCGACCUGAGAGGGUGAUCGGCCACACUGGGACUGAGACACGGCCCAGACUCCUACGGGGGGCAGCAGUAGGGAAUCUUCCGCAAUGGACGAAAGUAUGACGGAGCAACGCCGCGUGAGUGAUGAAUGUUUUCGGUUCGUUUAGCUCUGUUGUUAGGGAAGAACAAGUGCCGUUCAAAUAGUGCGGCACCUUGACGGUACCUAACCCAGAAAGCCACGGCUAACUACGUGCCAGCGGCCGCGGUAAUACGUAGGUGGCAAGCGUUGUCCGGGAAUUAUUGGGCGUAAAGGGCUCGCAGGGGGUUUCUUAAGUCUGAUGUGAAAGCCCCCGGCUCAACCGGGGAGGGUCAUUGGAAACUGGGGAAGUUGAGUGCAGAAGAGGAGAGUGGAAUUCCACGUGUAGCGGUGAAAUGCGUAGAGAUGUGGAGGAACACCAAUGGCGAAGGCGACUCUGUGGUCUGUAACUGACGCUGAGGAGCGAAAGCGUGGGGAGCGAACAGG